AAGUCGUAACAAGGUUUCCGUAGGUGAACCUGCGGAAGGAUCAUUAUAAAAUUUUCAUAUAUUAUUUAUUUAAUAUAUAAAAUUAUAUACAAAAUGUAUUCAAAACCCACACACUUUAUAACCAAAAAAAAAAUAUAUAUUUUAAUAUAUAUAUAAUAAAAAAACAACUUUCAACAACGGAUCUCUUGGCUCUC
rnacentral:misc_RNA from 1 species